rnacentral:rRNA from 1 species
UACGAAGGGGGCUAGCGUUGUUCGGAAUCGACUGGGCGUAAAGCGCACGUUAGGCGGAUCUUUAAGUCAGGGGUGAAAUCCCGAGGCUCAACCCUCGGAACUGCCUUUGAUACUGGGGAUCUCGAGUCCGGGAGAGGUGGAGUGGAAACUGCGAGUGUAGAGGGUGAAAAUUCGUAGAUAUUCGCAAAGAACACCAGUCGGCGA